CUGAACUCAUGGUCAUGGCUGCCUUGGCCUUAUUGUCCACUGUAGCCUCCUCCCAGAAGCCGAGUAAAGCAGCUAGGGUCCCUCCAUGCUAAAUAAUGUAGUCAGGCGCUCUGGGUAGUCCGUCCUGCCUCAUCUUGUUCUGGGGCCCCCAGUGGGGAUAGCUCUCUGCUUUCGGGCUGCAGAAAAGAAUUGAGUCACUUUCUGUAGGGGAGUAACACCCUUUGGGGACAGGGGUGCAGUUUUGAAGUAAUGAAGGCAGUGAUGUCUGGAGUGGGUGUGGGUGUUGCAGGUGAACUUGCCUCACCCAGGCUGUUCUGGGUCUUUGUACUCCAGAGUUCUGUCCUAGGCUUGCUUCUUCAUUCACUCUGUUUCCCUUUCUCUUCUUUUUUUCUUUUCCUUUCUUUCUCUCUUUUCUUCUGUGUAGAUGCUAAUGACUUCCAGAUCUGUGUCCUGCUGUGGCCUCUCCUCUUAGGAUCCCAGCUGCCUGCCAACCAGCUGUGCUUGGGUGACUCCUGGGCAUCUCAAAGCCCCGGUGUCUACCAUCACCCAUCAUGGGGCUCUUGGCCUGCCCAUUCAGCACGUGCAUUGAUGUACACACUCAGUGACUCCCAUCCAAGCCUCCCCUGCACGUGCCUGGAGAGACCUGCCCAUUGGACUCAUCUUGGACUCAGUUCUGCCAAUACUUUCUCCCUUCUAAGAGCAUUUCCAGUUGGGCUGGAGUUACCCAGCUGCCUGAGAGGUCUCUUUCUGAAUGAAGUCAAUAUCUAAAGUCAAAAUUAAUCAUUCAAAAUAUUCCCUUACCCCAUUUUUUUUGGGGGGGAGAUGGGGGUCUUGUGUUGCCCAGGCUGGUCUUGAACUCCUGGCCUCAAGCGAUCCUCCCACCUCAGCCUCCCAAAGCUCCCCUUAACCUCAGUUUUGAUCCCAUCCUCCAUUUGGGCAUUGCUCAGCUCCCCCACCUGUUAAUAGCAAACACCAAUCUCAAGCCCCUGCCCCAAUCUGCUACAAGGGGUUAGUGUUCCAUGCAGUGGGAGUGCAGGGAAGGCUUUACAGGAGAGGAGGGAGUUGAAAUGGGCCUGGAGGCCUGGGAUGGUAGACACUGGAUCCUUUUCCCCCACAGCUCCUGGCUGUUUCUUCACACUCCCAGCAUCACUAUUACUGCUAGCAUGUCUUUAGCAUCAUUUUGCCCUCCCUCUGACUUUCAGCAAGCCUGCACUUACCUCCAAAUAAAUGCAUGUUUUCGGGGGGCAAAGGCAGGUUCCUUCCUUACCUUAUUGUUGCUUCCCCCACCCCAUGCUGCAGCUGAGUGGGUGACCUUUCUCCUCACCUCCGUGUGCCGCAUCUCUCACCUAGUCUCUGUUAGGAACCCUACAGGAGCCUGCACCCCAGUAACCCCAUUUUAUGCUGCUUGGAGGAAGAGACAGAGAGUUUGAGAGGUCCCAGUUCUUUUCAGUGUGUGUUUGGUUCCCCCACUUCUCAAAGCUGAGAGCUUCUUUGUUUUAAGAGCCACUUGGUUAAGUCAAGAGCAUUAGAAGAGUAAAAAGAAGAAUACAAUUAGAUAAUUUUACCUAAACAUGCUAUAGUCGACUAGGGAGUCACAUAGACAUUGAUUUUCUAAUGAGGGCGCUGUUGGUGAUUCUUUUUGUGUGUAAAGAUGCUUCUGAUCAUGCCUGCUAUUACAUGAUACUUAUUUCUAAAGUCACUUUUUUUUUUUUUUUUACAUUUUCAUUGUAGAAAAAUAUCCCAUAAAAAUUGUGCCCCCUAGAGGGCGAGGGCCACGGGAAGGGGGAUCAGGAAAACAAGAAUCAGUCUCUAAGCUGGUCCUGGAGCAGCAUGACAGAUGUAUCUGAGCCCAAGCAGGAGAGGAGCCACAGGCCCAGGCUGGCAGAGUUGUGACUACUAGAAUCUCGAGUCACUGGGGCUCAGGGAGCCCUAACUUGGUGGCAGGUGACAAAUGUGGCACAAAGGAGAAAGGAGUCUUCUCCUUCCACAUAGAACACACUUGGCUUCAGUGCUUUGGGGGGAUUCGUGGACCACAGAGAAGCUUCCGCAUAUUUAUAGGCACUGGGGACCAGCAGGAAGUGGUGGUGAGACACUUUGAAACCCUCCACUGCAGACUUCACCCAGGGGGCAAGGCAGGAGAGAAUCCCUCUGUGGACAGCACUUGAGAGGAAAGGGCUUGUUCAUGACCACGUAUGAGGUCGCCAACCCAACCCUGUUCCUGAAGUUUCCCAGAAAUAGAUGGAGAGGUAAGGCCAGCUAGGCUGGAGCGCCAGCAUCAGUAGUAGGGGCAGGAGCUCACGCUAAACCCGGUUGGUGUGUCCUGGAGAAGCACAGGUGUCAUCUCCAGGGACCUUUCUCGACCAACUAAUUUAUGGAAAUGAGACAUUUGUAAUUGAUUUUAAUUCCCUCUUAGGGACUGUGAAAUUAAAAUGGAUUAAAUUUUGUCCAUCAGGAGCCUCAGGGAUUUAAUGUCCAAUUCUAAAACCUGAACAGGCCCUUUUGUUUUGCAAUUUGUGGACCAAUCCCUGGCUUCAUUUUAUUUGGCUUUGCUUUCACUUCCCCAUUUUCUGUUAUUUUUUUUUUUUUUGUGCUGUUAUGUACAUCUCUUAAAGCUGGUCAAAUCAUAUUUUGGGAUGGAAUGGCCUGAUAAGUUAAUAAAUUAUAUUAAACUGCCAAAAAAGGAAUGUGUUUUCGAUUCUUCUGGCUUCUUCC
rnacentral:lncRNA from 1 species